UAUCUAAGUAGUUUAAUUAAAAAUUUUGAUUUGUGGAGUCAAGGAUGCGUUAUGUUUUGGAUAA
rnacentral:tRNA from 1 species